GUCUCAGACAUGCAAAUAUUUAACAGACACUGUCUGACACUACUAAGCACAAUGAUAAAAUACAUUCUGCUCCAUGAAUCUGUUGGAUAUUCGACAAUUAAUUAAGCAUGGAAUAAUCACAUUUGUUAAAGAACAAUAAGCCAGAUCGAGUUUUUUGGGUCAGAUAACCAACCCAUUGCAGACUAAGCCAAGCUCUUCCAGACGACAGAGAUUACAAGAACCAAGCUGGAAACAUCUUAUAGCACAGAUGAAGGUUGGGGAUCACAGCUUUGUAAAGGUUUUACGUGCCUGACCUUUUACUUCUUUCUACAUUCUUUGUCUAAGACACAACCUCAGGAAAAGAAAGGGGCUACGGGUGGGGAUUAAUGUCUCAUAGGUCCUACAAUCACCCGCUUCUACUCAAACCCAUAAAAUGGCACAAAUGUACCUGGCAACAGCAAAUGAAAUGUGUCAAAUAAACGACGGUCCUUGCCUUAAGGAAGUCCAUUUCCUGAUUACGUUUCAAUGACCGGGAAUU